GGGAUUUUUGCAGAUUUUCAAAUAAAACUCAGAGAUUCCUUGUAUGAUUCUCUCAGGUCUCUCUUUUGUGGUAUUUUUGGAUCCUUACCAAAGCAUUGAUGGUAUAUGCCUUCUCUCAAGAUAUGUGGUAUUUGUGGUAUGAGGCAUAGUGACAUUGCCUUCUCUCUCAUCCUACUCUAAUAAGGCUUUAAUAUCUGGAGCUCAUAGGUGGGAGAUAAAGUAUACAUACUUACAAGACAUUUAUUUGCAUAGUCAAACCAUGGAUCCAAAGUAACAAGUCAAUAAGUUUAAUCAAGAUGUGCAUGUGUGGCGAAUGAAUGGUAUAUGGUGAUGAUGGUGAUAACAAUGGUGAAAACAAUGGUGAAAACAAUGGAGGUGGAAGUCUAAUUCUACUUUUGCUCUUUUGAGGGGAUACAUACCUUCCUUGCUUUUGAAACUUUAUGAUGAGAAUGAGAUGCUCUUCUUUUUCUUUUCUCUCAGGUGGGUAUCUUGCACUCCUAAUUCUACUAUCGGACACUUGUCCAUUUUUACCUCUCGUCUCACUUUUUCUUUUCUUUCGAGGUUCCGAGCACUUGCUCCUUUUUAUUUCCUCGUAUUAUUUUCUCUCUUUUUUUUAGAGCAUUCAUCUCUUGAGAUAAUAUAGCAAGUGGUAGUAACAAGAUAACUUGAGCAUUUAUUUCACAAGGGAAAACAGAAAAUAUUUUUGGUUAUUCUCUCCCGGAUUAGGAGUAGAAUAUUUUUAGGUGGUUCUGGAGAUGGAAUGGGUGGAUAUAUGUGGAUGGUACUUCCGGAAUAGAAGUAGCAUAUAUAAAUGAACGUGCAAGUGAAAUCUUGAUUUAACCACAUGACAAGCUCCUAAGGGUCUACACAGCUUGACCACACUCAAUGCUCAUAAGCAGUAAAUAUUAAAUGUGUGGCUCAAAGUCUAGCAAGCAUGUAUAUAUGGCUGUGGUAGGAAUUUUAAGCUCUCAUCAUAC
rnacentral:lncRNA from 1 species